GGUUUUAAGGCUUGUACUUAUCUAGAAUCACAAGUCAUAUGUUCAGUAGCAUCGAAUUCAAUUAUCCACGUAUUAUUCGUAACAGAUGUACAAACUUGUAAAGCCUUACAAUUGGUCAUACUCUCCUAUCUUGUUAGGUUAGAUUGAUUUGGAUGGACAUGAGCCUCUAAUGUCAUUGAGCUAAGUAAGUUGAGUGCAACGCGAGAGAGUGAUGGAUAAGGCCCAAAUUUACAAUCAAACCAAGUCCAAGCAAGUCAGCCUACACGGG
rnacentral:lncRNA from 1 species